UCUUAGUUCGUGGAGUGAUCUGUCUGCUUAAUUGCGUUUCAAAUUUUAUAUUUGUUAACAUGCGAGUCUUCAAUGACGGCCACUCCACCUUAUAGACAUUAUAUGAUAUGCACAUUUGUGUAUUUGAUUAUAACUUGUCUGGAGUCUGGCUCGAUUUUUUUGACUCAAUUGAACGCAACGGACGUGAUUGCAAGUCCUUGUUGAACAAAUUAUAUAUAUACUACUUCAUCAUUAGUAUAUAUAGUUCGCUUCUCAUGUCGUAGCAGUCAAACGGGCGGGCGUCUUAAUUGGCGCGGUCACGAGGCUUAAUAUGCUGCGGCUGGGAAAACUUGGGCGACCGCUGUAAUACUUCUCUCUUAAACCAGAGGAAGAUUGCGGCAAUAACAGGUCUGUGAUGCCCUCAGAUGUCCCGGGCCGCACACGUGCUACAUUGAUUAGCGCAGUGCGCAUACUUACAUAUAGAUCAUUGAUUGGUUAUUUAUAACCGUCAAUAUCGCCUUGUCUGAAAGGACUAGGUAAUCUAUUGUAAGUGCUGGUUCCUCCUCCCGUUGAGCAUUUUAAUAAUGGUCUCUCUACAUCCCUAGCACAUGAUGUCUAGUGCGAUUGUAGUUGAGUUCUGCCAUUUAUGCAAGUGUCA
rnacentral:rRNA from 1 species